CGUCCCUCGCGCUCUCUGGCUCCCUUCUUCAUCUCAAGUACUCCCACGGAGGCGAGAGGAAGCCAUUUCGCGGCCACAUUGAUGGCGUCGCAGACCACCCCUCACCUUCGCCACCGCAGAUGAUGAGUUGAGUCUGUUAAAACCUUCGAUCGCAACAGCUGCCGCCGCGGGGAACAUACGCACCGCCGUUGAAAGAUACAAUCAAUGGAUGAUUCAAUAUGAACAUAGUUCUGAAAACUCUGUCCAGACAUGCUUGAUACAAGGAAUAUUGUGCUCAUUUGCGCUUCAUUAUUGAAGGUUGCACAUAUUGCUUUUGUUGUCUAAGGAGACAUCCAAGGGUCAUGUGAGAACCCCGACACUCGAAGGACGACUUGAAAUAUUGAGGUCAUGCCUACAAGAGCUUAUGUAAGCUGGCAUCGUUACAUAUCUUCAGGUAUUUUUCUCAACUUCAAUUUACGUAAUACCAUGCAUAUUGUUAUGAGAUUUUCAUUAGGUUAUUUUCAUUAGUUUGAGUUAUAUGGUGAUCAAUUUUGGAAUAGUGGAAUCAAAAGUUAUGGGAUCAGGCUUUCUGUUUGGCCAAGCGAGGCACAUUAAUUGCAAAUUUAUAAUCACACUUUGAAGUAUGGAAUACUUUUCUUGAUCUGGUACCAGCUAGGUUUAAAACUAUUGGUCUGCCCUUUACUUGUUGGGUCUUUAGGUAAAGUUGGGUUUACCUCUGUUUACUGUUAUGAACCCUUGGGUGCCUUUGGUCUCUUAGCUGACAUCUAACAUAAAUAUCUUG